UCUAAGGGUGGUUUAGUGCUGGAGUCAGGGAGCAGAAGUGACCGUGUCACCAAAUGGGGCUCUCACUGAUUUGGAGAGGACCCUAAGAUUGGAGCCCCCAAUAAAACAGGUGAGGCCUUCUGCCAAGGAGAGGCGGGAGCCAGGUAGGUAUAUACCACCAGCAGAUGCUAAUGACUAGGAAACUCUGACUGGGCUGAUAGAAGGACAGAGAGGAGUAUAGCCCCCAACUCUGGGCCCCGUCAUAGACUUCCCUGCCUACUUCACCACAAACCCAGACCUAUAAGAUAUAGUGGCUACUCCUCACCCAGACAAACAACCUGGAUGAAGGUACCUCAAAGGUGGCAAUGCUCACAAUGUUAUCUAAGAACAGAAGUCCAGUCCUCCAAGACUGUGUGGCCAACACGAGAUGUGUCGUGAGACAGACAUAUUCUGACAUAUUCUGAACAGUUCUGGAGGAGGAAACAGACCAGAAGCUGGGAGACUUCAUGUUAGUGGCCCCUGGAGCAGUAAAAGUGUGACAAAACCCUUUUAAAAGCUGCUGGACCUGCUGGACCUAAGAGUGAGGAGAGAGUAGGACCUUCCUAUCCGAGAGUGGUAGGGGGGCUCCAGAAUGGGCUCCUGUGCAGCGACAACCAACACAUGAUCAGCCAGCCAUCUGAUCAGCUUGCAGCUGAGUCUUGGUAGGCCAUCCAGAUCUUGGCUUUCUUGCCAAGGUGCUAAGUUCGGUCAGCUGGGCACUCAUUUUCCUGCCCAGCCUCCCACUCAAGAUUCUGACCUUAGUUACAGACGUCUCCACCCUAAUGUUUAUCUCUGGUGAUAUUCUCUUCUCCUUCUGCCCCUUCCAGGUUCAUCUGGGCCUAUUGGCCCAGGGUCUACCAGGAGAUGUCCUCAGAAGAUCUCUUGAGGCAGACCUUUCACCCCUUUCCAACCCAUAGACCCACACCUUCCUCUUUAGUGUAGAUGAUUAACCUGCAGAAAGAGACUUGGUGAAGCAAUGGACUCUGAGCCCAUGGGACAACAAGAGAGGAUGGGAGAGCAAAAGUGAAGAGAUGGGGAAGACCACACACUGAACAGCCCUUCCUGCCCAUAAGAGGGCCAGACUGGAGUCCUGACUGGUUACAGAUGACAUCACCCCUCCCCUCCCCUGGCCCCCAUCCCCUGCUUCAUCUGUACCAAGAAAGCAGGAUAUACCCAUCCGCAGCAGCCUGAGGACCCAACCAUUGUCUAGCGAGCCUUCCCUUUUAUCCCCUUUUCUUCCUGCCCAGCCGGCUGAGGUACUGAUGAGACCUUCCAUCACUAAGACUCAAAUACGCAACAGCUCUCAAGUGCCUGGAUUUAGUCCUGGCUUUGGGGUUUCCCCCUCAUGGUGUGGCCAUUCCAAUAUUCUUACCUCCUUUCUACUGAGGGACCUUUCAGAGGUAAGGAAACUGAGUCAGGGAGACCUCUUAAACAUCUUUCUCCACAAUCCAUGUCUGAGGUGCGGGGUGGGACGGGACGGGGGAGGGGGAUGGAGUGGGGGGGACCGUAGCCUCAGGCGCUCCAAGUCCAGCUCUAGCUCAGUUGAGUCACCAAGAAUGUCUCCGAGCGCCCACCGCAGGUGGCUGAGGUGCUGGCGUGUGCCCCACCCGCUCCCCCGGCCUUCCCACCUACUGGUUCGGCGGCUGCACCUGGACAGUUCAUGACCCGCGUGGGCAGCAGCGGAUCGGCUAUGAAGAAUUGGAAUCCGGGUUUCACCACACUUACCGCGCUCUAUGCUGCUCCGCGCCAAUGCCAACCGCAGACUCAAAGCCAUGCUGAACGCAGUCCAGAACAGCAUCGCGCCUGGAGUGGCGGGCUCUUGAUCGACCACAGCUGGCUGCUAACUUGCCCUCCUACCGUGAGUCAGGCCCCACCCACCUCGGAGAAGCCACACCCACUCGCGGCCACUCCUGCUUGGGAGGCGCGUGCACUCAGUCGCUCGCGCAGAGGCCAAUCUGCACAGACUGCACGGUGAUGCAUGCCAUAGCGGUCCCGGACUUGCGGUGACACGCAGCAACCACAAAGGCAUAUAGGUGUGGGCGUGUGCUGACAGACAUUCCCAUCUCUCUUUUGCAGGCGGCAAUAUGUGUUGUCCAUAUUCUCCUCCUCACUCCUCCUCCCCUACUCCUUAGGGUUCCCCCCCCCCCCGCACCCCGCAGUUGCUGAUCUGCAAAGCUCCUGAAGACAGGAGAGCCUUACAAGACAAAAGAACCUUAGAAGUGGGGCUAUACAAAGAAGCAACCUUCUCUCAACAAGGACCCAAUUUGGCUAUAAACUGGAGGAGCAGCCGGCUUUCUCCAAAGACUUGAAAGCAAUGACGCAGCCCUCAGAGGAGACAGGAGCAUAUGAGAAGCUUCUUACAGAAUGAAGAGCCUCCACCUUGCCAGAACUCUCACCUGAAUUCUUGGAGGAAAAGACACAGUGGCCUAUUGCUGUCCUAUGUACUACCCAAACAGGGCUCCAGGGCUACACCCAGGUCAGACCCCAGCAGGAUUAGAGACCCACUGGCCAUCUAAAGUUGGGUCCUGCAGUCAGUGCUAAGCCCAGACCAAAGGAAGCUGUCUACAAGUGUUGUUCACAGGACAUUGAGCCCUUCAGAAGGGCUGCACAGACCGCGGCCCUUAAGAUGCUUUCCUGUAAAUAAUUAUAGUAUUUGGAAUGGAGGCCCACAUAGGAGGGGGUGUUGUCUGGCAGGAUGUCUCCUCCCUUCCCACUCUCAGCAAGAGGAUGCUCAGCAGGGAGGACGGAUGGGACUCAAUGGUUUUACUUCCUCCAUUUCUGGCAGGUGAGACACUGUGGGGCCUUGAGGACUGUGCCUGAGCUCUGCUUUGCCUAAAAAAGGAAGCAAUACAGCUGAGCCUGAGAAGCUAGCUGCAGGAA